UACAGAGGUCUCAAGCGUUGUUCGGAUUCAUUGGGCGUAAAGGGUGCGUAGGCGGCGCGGUAAGUCGGGUGUGAAAUUUCGAGGCUUAACUUCGAAACUGCAUUCGAUACUGCCGUGCUUGAGGACUGGAGAGGAGACUGGAAUUUACGGUGUAGCGGUGAAAUGCGUAGAUAUCGAUAAGGAAGACCAGUGGCGAAGGCGGGUCUCUGGACAGUUCCUGACGCUGAGGCACGAAGGUCAGGGGAGCAAACGGG
rnacentral:rRNA from 1 species